rnacentral:rRNA from 1 species
UACGAAGGGGGCUAGCGUUGCUCGGAAUUACUGGGCGUAAAGGGCUCGUAGGUGGCCAACUAAGUCAGACGUGAAAUCCCUCGGCUUAACCGGGGAACUGCGUCUGAUACUGGAUGGCUUGAGUUCGGGAGAGGGAUGCGGAAUUCCAGGUGUAGCGGUGAAAUGCGUAGAUAUCUGGAGGAACACCGGUGGCGAAGGCGGCAUCCUGGACCGACACUGACGCUGAGGAGCGAAAGCCAGGGGAGCAAAGCGGG